AGCGCGUUUGACAAGUGGCCUAAGUCGCCAGCUUUUCACGCUGGUAUUCACCGGUUCGAAUCCGGUACGCGUUA
rnacentral:tRNA from 1 species